rnacentral:rRNA from 1 species
AUGAGCAGCAUCCCCUAUGCCUCAGCCAUAGGGUCUAUUACGUAUGCCAUGCUGUGUACCAGACCUGAUGUAAGCCUUGCCGUAAGUUUGGUAGGAAAGUACCAAAGUAAUCCCGGCAAGGAACAGUGGACAGCGGUUAAGAAUAUCCUGAAGUACCUGAAGAGGACUAAGGAUAUGUUUCUCGUUUUUGGAGGUGACGAAGAGCUCGUCGUAAAGGGUUACGUCGACGCUAGCUUCAACACAGAUCUGGAUGACUCGAAGUCACAAACCGGAUAUGUGUAUAUUUUGAAUGGUGGGGCAAUAAGCUGGUGCAGUUGCAAGCAAAGCGUCGUGGCGGGAUCUACAUGUGAAGCAGAGUACAUGGCAGCCUCAAAGGCAGCACAUGAAGCAAUCUGGGUGAAGGAGUUCAUCACCGACCUAGGAGUCAUACCCAAUGCGUCGGGGCUGACUUGCCAAGGAGCCCAGGUUUCACAAGAAGACCAGGCACAUCAAGCGUCGCUUCAACUCCAUUCGUGA